UUCGAUGGUAGGAUAGAGGCCUACCAUGGUUGCAACGGGUAACGGAGAAUUAGGGUUCGAUUCCGGAGAGGGAGCCUGAGAAACGGCUACCACAUCUAAGGAAGGCAGCAGGCGCGCAAAUUACCCAAUUUCAACUCGAAGAGGUAGUGACAAGAAAUAACAAUACAGGGCCCACUGGGUCUUGUAAUUGGAAUGAGUUAAAUUUAAAUCCCUAAACGAGGACCCAUUGGAGGGCAAGUCUGGUGCCAGCAGCCGCGGUAAUUCCAGCUCCAAUAGUGUAUAUUAGUGUUGCUGCAGUUGAAGCGCUCGUAGUUGGAUUUUGGACUAGUCUAGUCGGUCGUCCGUAAGGUAUGUACUGGCUAGUUUGGUCUUUUUUCUGAAGAACUGUCAUGCUCUUUACCGGGUGUGGCAGGGAUCCAGGACUUUUACUUUGA
rnacentral:rRNA from 1 species